rnacentral:sRNA from 1 species
UUUUUUUCCUUCUUCUUUUUUCCUUCUUUUUG